UACGUAGGGUGCGAGCGUUAAUCGGAAUUACUGGGCGUAAAGCGUGCGCAGGCGGUUUUGUAAGUCAGAUGUGAAAUCCCCGGGCUUAACCUGGGAAUGGCAUUUGGGACUGCAAGGCUCGAGUGCGGCAGAGGAGACUGGAAUUCCUGGUGUAGCAGUGAAAUGCGUAGAUAUCAGGAGGAACACCGGUGGCGAAGGCGGGUCUCUGGGCCGAUACUGACGCUGAGGAGCGAAAGCGUGGGGAGCGAACAGG
rnacentral:rRNA from 1 species